AUACGGAGGGUGCAAGCGUUAUCCGGAAUCACUGGGUGUAAAGGGUGCGUAGGCGGCCUGUUAAGUCAGGAGUGAAAGGCCACAGCUUAACUGUGGGAUUGCUUUUGAUACUGGCGGGCUUGGAUUAGGACGAGGUUGGCGGAAUGUGGCAAGUAGCGGUGAAAUGCAUAGAUAUGCCAUAGAAUACCGAUUGCGAAGGCAGCUGACUAGACCUAUAUUGACGCUGAGGCACGAAAGCGUGGGGAGCGAACAGGAUUAGAUACCCUGGUAGUCCACGCCCUAAACGAUGCUAACUCGAUGUUCGGCCGUUAGGCGGAGCAUCCAAGCAAAUGCGAUAAGUUAGCCACCUGGGGAGUACGCCCGCAAGGGUGAA
rnacentral:rRNA from 1 species